CCUACGGGGGUCAGCAGUGAGGAAUAUUGGUCAAUGGACGAGAGUCUGAACCAGCCAAGUAGCGUGAAGGAUGACUGCCCUAUGGGUUGUAAACUUCUUUUAUAAAGGAAUAAAACGAGGCACGUGUGCCUGUUUGCAUGUACUUUAUGAAUAAGGAUCGGCUAACUCCGUGCCAGCAGCCGCGGUAAUACGGAGGAUCCGAGCGUUAUCCGGAGUGAUUGGGUUUAAAGGGAGCGUAGAUGGGUUGUUAAGUCAGUUGUGAAAGUUUGCGGCUCAACCGUAAAAUUGCAAUUGAGAAUGGCAGUCUUGAGUACAGUUGAGGUAGGCGGAAUUCGUGGUGUAGCGGUGAAAUGCUUAGAUAUCACGAAGAACCCCGAUUGCGAAGGCAGCUUACUAAACUGUGACUGACAUUGAUGCUCGAAAGUGUGGGUAUCAAACAGGAUUAGAUACCCGAGUAGUC
rnacentral:rRNA from 1 species